GGUAGGCGCGGGCCGGCAGGGGCGGGGCGCGAGCGCGGCUCAGGGCGAGCGGCAGCGGGUGCGCGCGCGGCUCCGCUCCGCUCUCGCCGUCUCCGCCGCCGCGGCUCCGCUCGCCCCGGCAUGAGGAAGCGCAACGAGUCCGUCACCGUGGAGCAUGAGCGCGCCGCCGCCGCCGCGCCGCCGCCGCUCGACAAGGGCUGCAGCCUGAGGCACAGCCUGCGCCUGCCCCCCGCCGCCGCCGCCGCGGGCAUGAAGCGACCGCUCGGCAGGUGUGGUUUACUCUGUUUCAAGCAUCUCUUGAGACUUCUAGCAUCCUACUGCAGACAUCUUUGAUCUAAAGUUUCUUUCCCUGGGUCCAGUUUUCCUGAACUGCAUGAAUUGCAGACCUGUGCUUGUUUCACCACACUUAAACUUCCUGAUGUGGGCAGUUCUGGAGAACUCCUGGGACCAAGAUGGACUUUUCAGUCACUCAUGGAAGGAAGAUGUCUUUGUGGGGACCAGGAUCUUCUCAGUGUUGCAGUAUUUUCUGAACCCCUGUUCUAUUUCCAAGCUGGUUUUGCUUCCACAGAGUGUCCAUGACCUACUUAAAUGGCAUGUUGUUGCCUAAGCAGCUUGGUUUGCUGUGAAUCAAAUUCUCUGCAAAAUGAGUCACAGGACACAGGUGCGAGUCCAUAGGUUUCCUCCAGGAGGCAGUAAUAUGUAUUUCUCUUUGGUGAAAGCAACAUGAUGUCAUUUUAAUGAAAACUAACAAUGGCGGCAUCACUUCCUCUCCAGAAUCUGCUGCUGUGAUACCGGCAAGAGGCCUGCUAUACUUUCUAAGCAGGAUUCCUGCCAUGGAUGAAGAGUCCUGCCUGCUGCAUCCAGUUUUGUUUGAAAGGCACCAUCAAGUGACUUCCUCUGCUAACAACUCCUUUCAAGCCCAGAGUUGUCCUCUUAUAUCGCAGUUGGGAAGAAGAAAGGGUUUUCUUCAGUUACCUUCCUCCUGUUUUACUAGGAGUGGUGCUCGAAUAGCAAGAAUUGGUGUUUCUUCCAGGCCUCUCUGGAGAGAACAACUGAUCUGCAGGCCAUACUGUGGGCCUUUCCCUUUCAGCUGUAAUAUGCUUUUUGUCCAUCAAGCAGAGCAAAUACAAAGAUUUGAAGUCUCAAAUACCCUACUGUGAUAGGUAAUAAUUUGUUACAUCAACUCGUGAAGUGAUUUUACCAUGAAACUAGGUGCUAAGUACCGGCUAUCACCACAGUGAUUGUACUGAGUCAGCAGAGCGAUAUUGUAUUGUGAAAUGUAUGCGCGUGACCUG
rnacentral:lncRNA from 1 species